GAGGGAGAGGUACGAGCGGAGGUUAUCUUCUCUGCAGGUCGACUCAAGUCAGCUGCUUUGUUUUGUCCUGCUGCUGUUGGACUUGUGACCUGACUGACCUGGACGUUCAUGUCAAGUUCAAGGUUCAUCUGCUUCAGUCACCAAACUCCUCACAGUGUCUCUCUACACUGGUGACAGGUCUCUUUGAAGCAAGAGUCGCGGAGCAUUUGGACACCAGUCCUGAUCCAGGACCCAGUGGAGUCAACAGGUUUCUGUCUUGUCUUUGUUGAUGUUGCGAUGAGAUGCUGCCUUGAACCUUGGCAGAACGAAGACAAAUCGCCUGUAGUGUGUAUGACUGACUUCUCUCAUGUGGAGUCUGCGUGCAGCUCUGUUGUUGUCGCUGCUCCAGUUGUUGACCUGUCUUGCCUCCAUCUUCUCUGCCUCUUCAGGUUUCUGUCCUCUGUUUUCUUCCCACCUCUGGCUCUCUGAUCUCCUUCCAUCUCUUCCUCCCCCCUCACCUUGUCACUCUGAUGCUCUGCAUCCUUCCCUUUCCAUCCAUGGAUGUAUUUGCUCCGACACAACAGAUCCUCUCUGAGGACCUCAACCUCUCACACUCUCUUCAGCACCAUCAGCAGAGCGACGAAGAAUAACUGGUCAAACACCGCCCUCGUGUGGUUGGACUUAAACACAACCAGUCAAUGAAAUAACCCACUGUUUGUCCAUGACGUCAUGACGCCUCCUCAUUGGUCAAUGGCUGGCCAACUGGCCCCGCCCCCGAGCGCCAGGUGAACUAGUCCGCUGAUGAGCAGCUUGGUGAACAGGUGGAUGAGGUGAACGACAGGUCAAACGUGUGUGAGCUGGAGGCUGCAGGUCACUGACAUGAUGCAGCAGUGUCUGCAAGAUGUUUCAUGGUCAUGUGGAAGAGAUGCAUGUGAGUUGUGUGGAAGUGUUUCCUCAGGAGAAGAAACCCUGCAGCAGCUGGAGGGUGAGACGUCACUUUGCCAUUUCAAGUGUUUCCUUUUGGAUUUUGGGCUCUUUGACAUCCUCAGAAGACCCAGACCUUUGUUGGUGUGAGACCAUGCUGCUGCUCACUUGCUUCCUCUUGUUCCAGGUAGCUGCACUCAGAAGGCCCCUGCACACAAACAGAGUCAAAUCUGGCUGCAGCACAGUAGUUGGUGACUCAGCACUUUUCAGUGAGGGGCAACUGACGUUUCUAACCAACUGUCUUGGUCCUGAAGCUCAGCAUUGGAGGUUGUAGUCCUCCUGAGGACUCUGAGGCUUCCUAGAGUGCCUGGUGACCCUGUGGCCCCUGUAUUCCUGGGGGCCUGUGAUGUGUGAAACUGAUCAUGCAGGAAUGUUCUGGUGCUUAUUUGCUGAGACAUCACUCUCAAGUUACUGAUGAACCUUCUG